rnacentral:rRNA from 1 species
AGUGAACGCUGGCGGUAGGCCUAACACAUGCAAGUCGAACGGCAGCACAGUAAGAGCUUGCUCUUACGGGUGGCGAGUGGCGGACGGGUGAGGAAUACAUCGGAAUCUACUUUUUCGUGGGGGAUAACGUAGGGAAACUUACGCUAAUACCGCAUACGACCUACGGGUGAAAGCAGGGGAUCUUCGGACCUUGCGCGAUUGAAUGAGCCGAUGUCGGGUUAGCUAGUUGGCGGGGUAAAGGCCCACCAAGGCGACGAUCCGUAGCUGGUCUGAGAGGAGGGUCAGCCACACUGGAACUGAGACACGGUCCAGACUCCUACGGGAGGCAGCAGUGGGGAAUAUUGGACAAUGGGCGCAAGCCUGAUCCAGCCAGACCGCGUGGGUGAAGAAGGCCUUCGGGUUGUAAAGCCCUUUUGUUGGGAAAGAAAAGCAGCAGGUUAAUACCCCGCGGUUCUGACGGUACCCAAAGAAUAAGCACCGGCUAACUUCGUG